rnacentral:tRNA from 1 species
UGGCGUCGUCGACUAACCGGUCAGGUCGCCGGACUUUCAAUCCGGAUGGUGCGGGUUCGAACCCCGUCGACGCUACCC